UACGGAGGGUGCGAGCGUUGUCCGGAAUCACUGGGCGUAAAGGGCGCGUAGGCGGCGCGGAUAGUCGGCGGUGAAAGCCCGGAGCUCAACUCCGGGUCGGCCGUCGAUACUUCCGGGCUUGAGCACUGUAGAGGCAGAUGGAAUUCCGGGUGUAGCGGGUGGAAUGCGUAGAGAUCCGGAAGAACACCGGUGGCGAAGGCGGUCUGCUGGGCAGUUGCUGACGCUGAUGCGCGACAGCGUGGGGAGCAAA
rnacentral:rRNA from 1 species